AUCACCUGGAAGUCUUGUUAAAAGGCAGAUCCUGGUUCAGUGGGCCUUGAAUGGGGGCUUAUGUGGGGCUUGAGAUUCUGCAUUUCUAACAAAUUCCUAAGUGAUGUUAA
rnacentral:pre_miRNA from 1 species